rnacentral:rRNA from 1 species
CGCCUGGGGAGUACGGGUGAGGUAACGGCUCACCAAGGCAUCGACGGGUAGCUGGUCUGAGAGGAUGAUCAGCCACACUGGGACUGGGACACGGCCCAGACUCCUACGGGAGGCAGCAGUAGGGAAUAUUGCACAAUGGGCGAAAGCCUGAUGCAGCAACGCCGCGUGCGGGAAGAAGGCCCUAGGGUUGUAAACCGCUUUCAGCAGGGAAGAAAAUGACGGUACCUGCAGAAGAAGGUGCGGCCAACUACGUGCCAGCAGCCGCGGUGACACGUAGGCACCAAGCGUUGUCCGGAUUUAUUGGGCGUAAAGAGCUCGUAGGCGGUUCAGUUAGUCGGGUGUGAAAACUCUGGGCUCAACCCAGAGACGCCACUCGAUACUGCUGUGACUAGAGUGCGGUAGGGGAGCGGGGAAUUCCUAGUGUAGCGGUGAAAUGCGCAGAUAUUAGGAGGAACACCAGUGGCGAAGGCGCCGCUCUGGGCCGUAACUGACGCUGAGGAGCGAAAGCGUGGGUAGCAAACAGGAUUAGAUACCCUGGUAGUCCACGCCGUAAACGUUGGGCACUAGGUGUGGGUCUCAACCAACGAGAUCCGCGCCGUCGCUAACGCAUUAAGUGCCCCGCCUGGGGAGUACGG